GAUGGGAUUUCUUUACACCCACUGGCUCCAGGAGCACUAGUUCAUUCUGAGCUCGCUGGAUUCUUGCCGUAAAUCCUAUACCGUUUAGAGGAGGCUACGGGUGAGGAGCAGGGCUCUGCGGAAGGCGGCGCUCGGCGGUACCAGAAGGAAAAGGGGUUUGACCUUGCGCUCCGCUCGGCACCGGCCCGGCGAUGCGGGACCGGGCGGGAUGCUGAGGGGCGCGGGUCAGCCGGAACCGGCGGCGGCUCGGACACAAUUCAGCCGGCAGCUGAACAGCUGGUCUGGAACUUAAAGAAGAAAAAAAAUCAUAUUUCUCUAAGGCUUAUUAAUUGAUUUCCCACAGUGACUGUAUUUAAAGUGCAGGUCAGAGCAGGGACCCUGCACUGGCACAGUGUUCCCUUGUGUCCCGGGGAGGAGGAGGCCGAGCUCACGCCCCGCAGCCCCGCGCCCUGUCCCAGCAUGGCUCAGGCACCCACCCAUGUUCCAGAGCUGCCGAGUGCCCUUGGAGCCCACGGGUGAGGUGCUGCAGGUGGCCCUCAGCAGUGCCAUUACGCUUGGGGUCGGGGAAAGAGGGAUCAUGAUAUUAUUCUCUAAAAAAUGUUACAACAAAGUAAUUUAAUGGUUUUUAAAUGAUGGAAUACAAGUAAACGGGAAAUCCUCAAUGAUUUGUCUCCUAAGGUGGGCGUAUAAUUUUAAUCAGAAGCGUUUGCUGAUGCUAGGAUGU